rnacentral:rRNA from 1 species
UACGUAGGUGGCAAGCGUUGUCCGGAUUUACUGGGCGUAAAGAGCGCGCAGGCGGACUGAUCAGUCUGGGGUGAAAUCUCACGGCUCAACUGUGAGCGGUCCCUGGAUACUGUCAGUCUUGAGAUGUCUAGAGGAGAGCGGAAUUCCCGGUGUAGUGGUGGAAUGCGUAGAUAUCGGGAAGAACACCAGUGGCGAAAGCGGCUCUCUGGGGACCAUCUGACGCUGAGGCGCGAAAGCGUGGGGAGCGAACCGG